AACGAACGCUGGCGGCAGGCCUAACACAUGCAAGUCGAACGCUGUAGCAAUACAGAGUGGCAGACGGGUGAGUAACGCGUGGGAACGUGCCCUUUGGUUCGGAAUAACCCAGGGAAACUUGGGCUAAUACCGGAUACGUCCGUAAGGAGAAAGAUUUAUCGCCAAAGGAUCGGCCCGCGUCGGAUUAGCUAGUUGGUGAGGUAAAGGCUCACCAAGGCGACGAUCCGUAGCUGGUCUGAGAGGAUGACCAGCCACACUGGGACUGAGACACGGCCCAGACUCCUACGGGAGGCAGCAGUGAGGAAUAUUGGACAAUGGGCGCAAGCCUGAUCCAGCCAUGCCGCGUGAGUGAAGAAGG
rnacentral:rRNA from 1 species